GAGUAAUGUCCGGUGGUACAUCGACACUAGGGCGUGGUCACCUGUCUACUCGGUGUAUUCAAACUCCAGCAUCGCUUCCGGUUCCGUCCAGGAGCUGGUGACGGGUAUCCAGGAGGGGAGGGACGUCAGGGUGUGGCUCAAGUGGGUGCUGGAGACCAGGUCACGCUUUCUGGACUCACAGAUGAGUUCAUUGACCGACGACGGCAAGGUGAGCACUGAAUCAGUCGUAACGUGGGGUACUGACGCCUCUAACGUGACCUCCACCUUACUCAGCCCACUUUGUGACCUUGAGUACGUGCUAGUGACGUCAGAGGGCUACGUGGAGGUGAUGAGGUUCAACAUUCAAACUUCCGGGCUGAAGAGCGUGCUUAGCAACGUCCUCAUCACGUGGUUUCUCUCGUAA